rnacentral:tRNA from 1 species
GCCUGGGUGGCUCAGUCGGUUGAGCGUCCGACUUCGGCUCAGGUCAUGAUCUCACAGUCCGUGAGUUCGAGCCCCACGUUGGGCA